AAAGCAUCCGUAGCUCGUUUUGUAAGUUUUCGGUUAAAUCCAUACGCUUAACGUAUGGGCUGCCGGGAAUACUGCAUAACUAGGAAGUGGGAGAGGUAGACGGUACUCGGUAGGAAGGGGUAAAAUCCUUUGAUCUAUUGAUGACCACCUGUGGCGAAGGCGGUCUACCAGAACACGUUCGACGGUGAGGGAUGAAAGCUGGGGGAGCAAACCGGAUUAGAUACCCGGGUAGUCCCAGCUGUAAACUAUGCAAACUCAGUGAUGCAUUGGCUUGUGGCCAAUGCAGUGCUGCAGGGAAGCCGUUAAGUUGCC
rnacentral:rRNA from 1 species